GGUCGCUGAAUGGGAUGUGGACAGCUUCAAUGGUUUAGAGUAUUAUUCUUCUCCGGAGGCGAUACUUUCCUCCGAUGAGGAACCUUUACCCGAGGAAGGUUUAGAACACUAUCGCAUUUUUAAACGCCAGAUAAUCCAGAGCAAGGGAUUUUACGGGGAUCCUGAGCUUAAGCCAUAUUAUCAUUACAAAGGAAUAUGUCCAAUGAACUUGGAGUCGGAAGCGCUUACGGAUAAAAACUUCCGCCAGUUCUGGGAAGAGAUGGUCUAUGUUUGUCUCCAAAAACUCAACCAAGACAAGGAUUCGAAUGUGGAGUUGGUUGAAGUUGUGAGAGGUUAUUAUCGCCCAGGACCGAGAUCAAAGUCAUAUAUUACAUUUAUGGCAAGGGAGAAGCCGGAUGGACCUCUUGUGGAGUAUCAAGCCAAGUGUAUGGUUACUUUAGACAGAAAGAGGCAUCCCAUCCUCUGUAGACCGGUUCCUGCUUUUAGCCAGUUUUAGAUUGCUAUGUGAUUCAAACGGGAUUAGUUAUAUCUAUAUAUCAUAGUUGCUUUCGGCAUACUCUGUUAGAGAUAUGGUGUCUCUUAAGUACAGUAUUUGGCCAGUUAGUCUCUUGUUUCGCAGUAAGAUGAGAAAAAGACCCAUCUCAAUAAAUGUCUUGGCCCAGCAUUCAUUCACAUGGAGGACAGACUGCAUACACGUCUUUUACUAGUAGACAUUUUAUUCUCUCUGUUCUGUUUUGACUGGAAAUGGGACUCAGAGGACUAGGGCAUUUCAUGUCAAGUCAGAUUAUUGGUAUUUUUUUUAAUGAUCUAAUCUCCUGGAUGUAACACUUUAGGAUAGUACCAAAUACAUUUCUUCGCGUUUGUUUGGUUCCCAGGACUUGACCAAUAUCGAAGGUAUGUUUCGGAUCUAGAUCUGAACACAUCAGCAAAGUUGAGGGAAAGAAGGUUGUUUCGUUUCCUCUUGUUCAAGCUUUCAGCCUUCUAGAUUUGGUUGUUGCUUCGUUUCCUUGUGUGCCAUCCAGUGGCAAUUCUUUCGCUUCAUUGCGAUUUUUUACUGCUGUGUGCAGUUAAUGGUAUCAAACCUAUCAGGUCGCCUAGGAGCUUUGGUUCAAUUCUCCACGCCCCUCCCGUCCUUUUAUUAUUCCAUGGGAAGUUUUACAGAUAAGACAGGAUAGUCUUAACAAAAAAAACAAAUUUGGGUAUUAUUCGACACCAGAUUUCUUCAUUGAGAAGUGGUGGGGUUUCGCAACUCCACACCCUCUCAGAAGCUGGGGAUUUCCUCAUAGCUCCCAGGUCUUGAUAAGUCGGUGUUUUGUAGCCGAGUCUCUGGAUGCAGCAUUUUCGAGCUGUAGAACACCUAGUGUGCUCUCUGAUUUCCAAGGCCUCGUCUCACGUUUUAGCUAGCACCACAACUUUAGUUGCUCAAGUGUUGUGCAAGCUUCUAUAUGUUUCUUUCAUGUUUCCCGCUUGGCAUUUGUAGCAGAGGCUUCUUGAGCCAUUGUAUUUGUUGAAUUAUUUUCUCCAUUUAUAGGUAUAAAAUUUUAAAAUUUUAUCUA